AAAGUAAACAACACCCAAGUGUCCGGGAACAAAGGCAAGUUGUCUUCACAGUGCGGAGCCGUGUGCCUCUUCCGAAGAAUAAGAGCUAUUAUUACUCGUUGUGUCUUAUCCUUUUUUUUUUUUUAACCAAGUUUCCUUCUAAGGGAAAUAAACACCAAAGGUAGGAUUCCAAGGAAAUGACUCACGGCGGCUGGCAGGGCUCUGGCGAGGCUGGCCCGGGCCCCGCGCUCCAGCCCGCAGCGGUGCCCGCCGGCCCUCCCUCCCUCGCCGGCCGAGCCCACGGGGAGCCCGCGGCUGCCGAGUGCCCUGCGCGCCCGUGGGACCCGGCGGCGUGGACGCCUCCCUGGCCCCGCGGCCGCCUCUCCCCGCCUUCUGCGGCCGCAGCCGGGCACUCGGGAAAGUUGCGAGGGCCGAAGAGGCGGGAGGGGAGGAAGGGAGGAGAGAGGCGGAGGCGUGGAGCAGGCGGGCAGCAGCCUCAGCCCGCCGGGGAGUGAUCCUCCGACUGUGAAAAACCAAACCUCUGGCUGCCUGGCUCCCUAGGAAUCAAGGAGCUAGCUGCAGACUGAAAAUCAGGGAGGGAAGGAACAAGAUCAAGGAUGAGGAUUAGCAUCUGCAAAUUGAACUCUAUCUAAUUUGCAUGUUUAUUUCUUAGAAUUGUAAUUAAAUUUGUGUAAUAAAUGUUUUCCAUUUCAUUUGUACACUUAAAAUUUGGGUGACUGACAUGCAGUUAAGUGAAUUUGCUUUUUUUUUUUCUUUAAAGCAAAUGCAGUUUAUUCAAUAAAGCAGCAAACAAAUAUUAAACAUAAUUAGAAC